ensembl:lncRNA
CGAAAAUGUACUGCUGGUUUUCAUUGACCGCUCUAUCCAGAAGAGGAGAUAACGAUGAUGAUAAAAAGCCCCACAUCAGUAGGUACGUUGCCAGCAUCUCCGUUCAGAUACUGAAGCUCAGGGCCCUACUGCUCGAGGAAUUACAGUUUUACAGAAUAGAGGCUGACUUCCCAGCAGUGCAGGAGUUCUGCUGGCUUUUGUGCGCAUCCAGGCAGCGGUGGGUGGCAUGGAGCUCCACCAGCACAGCUGAGACCCAAGCACCUGGUUCCCUGAGCACUGGAAGAGUUUCCAUGGCAAUAAACAGGAGGCAUUACUUUUGGAGCAACCUACGUACAAGACAGAAAUAUUGCAGCUCCAGGAAAAAUACUGAGAUGCUACCAGGAUGUGACCAGCACUGUGCUAUGGCUAGAGAAACAGCAGCUGAUAGACCAGUGAUCUGGCCACGGUGCUCUGUGCCCCUUAGGGCUGUUCCUCUCCCAACCAAGUUCUGCAGGAGGCAUUGGCACCUGUAGCUACAUCCACCUCAGAGGUACAGAGAACCAG